AAAAUCCCUAAUAAAACAAGAGUAAAUUACAUUGGGUGUCAAAAUUUCACUUUGCAUUAUAAAAAAUGUCACCUUUUUAAAACCAUAUCAAAAAUGUCAUAUUUGGACUGUUUUGCCCCGUUGAAUAAUUUUAAUACUUUAUAUAUCCUUCAUUAAAUGUGAUAUGACUAGUCCAUUAAAAAUUGUAGAAAAACCUGUGACAUGUCAGGGUUUGGGGUUUAUUCAAUGUUGAAAACAUAAAAUGAAAAAAAGGAGGAGGUGAAACGAGAAGAAAGAAACCGACUCUCACGCACUCCUUUUCUCUCACGCACUCCCCUCUCUCACUAGAAUUGCCCCCCUCCCACCCGGUGACGACCACCGUGACGUCCACCGCCGACGAUUAUUUUUCAGAAACUUGAGGUAUCUACUACAGAUUUCUGUAGGGGAGGGAAUGAAACCAACGGCAUCAUCGGCUUGUCGACUCAAAGAAGAACCCUCUCUUCGCCAUCCACAAAAAGACCAUCUCCAGCCGCCUUCGUAAAUACGGUAUGUAUAUAUGUAUAUUUGUAGUAUGGGUAGAUGUGUGUGUUUUUGGUCUACGUAUUGUUAUUGUUCAUUUAGGUUUGGAUCUUUGACUGUAAUUUCAAGCUAGUCAACACCCUCAUUGUUGUGUAUCUGAAAUCUAUAUGAGCCCCUUUUCGUUUCUGGGGCACUGUUACUGAUUUUAAACUUUUGAUUUUUGGUUGUAAAGAGUUCCAUGGGUGUAUAAAAUUCUAGGUAAUUAAAAGAAGGCUCUUUCUAUUUUGCAAAUAAAUGCUGAUGCAUUUUUGGAGAAAUAAUUUAAACUUUUAGUUUUCGCUAUGUUUGCUUGUUCUCUUGCAUAUCUUUGGAGAAAUAAUUUUAUGUGUUGAUUAAGUAGAGUAGAAAAUCCUCCGCCUCUUCCACUUUCAAAACUCGGUCUAGUUGUUCAGUUAUUGGGUUUCGAAAGUCUCUUUGAGAAAAGGGAAAAUUACCAAACGGUGUCCCGA
rnacentral:lncRNA from 1 species